rnacentral:misc_RNA from 1 species
AAGAACAAAAAUCAGAGAUUAGGAUACGCACGAUUAGUUGGCAACAACAUAAAGAAAUUAAUGUACAAGUAAGUAAGAACAGUUCAAUAAUUUUAUCUGUAUAAAAGAGAAAAAGAAGAGGUGGCCUAUUAAUGGGAUGAAUUCAGGACCCCCCUCGUGAGUGUCUUAGAAUCCAGCCAAUAGUUUCAUUGAAAAGCAGCCACUUAAUUAAUUAAUUAUUACAUACUCCCUUUUUUACAAAAUUAUUAGUUUAGACUAUAUUCAAACUCGAAAUUUGACACUCUUUAUGGAAUAAAUAAUUUCAUCAAGACAUGCCAAUUUUCUGCAAAUAUAUCAAGGGGAAAAACUAGCUUGGCUUGCCUUUAAUACAUGAAUAUUUUUUUCAGUCGAGCUAUUCUGGACUUAUAGCUUGGUCAUAAG